rnacentral:rRNA from 1 species
CCCUUAGAUGUCCGGGGCUGCACGCGCGCUACACUGAAUGAAUCAGCGUGCUAGAAAACCUUGUUUGACAUGGCUAGGUAACCCAUUGAAAAUCAUUCGUGAUUGGGAUCGGGACUUGCAAAUGUGUCCCUUGAACGAGGAAUUCCCAGUAAGUGCGGGUCAUCAGCUCGCGUUGAUUACGUCCCUGCCCUUUGUACACACCGCCCGUCGCUGCCCGGAACUGAGCCGUUUCGAGAAGACUUAGGAUUGCUGACUUGAGGCCUUCACGGGCUUCUAGUCGGUGAAAAUCAAUUUAAUCGCAGCGGCUUGAACCGGGCAAAAGUCGUAACA